CUUUCAGUUGUGAGGAAGGUAGUGUAGUUAAUAGCUGCAUUAUUUGACGUUAGCGACAGAAGAAGCACCGGCUAACUCCGUGCCAGCAGCCGCGGUAAUACGGAGGGUGCGAGCGUUAAUCGGAAUUACUGGGCGUAAAGCGCAUGCAGGUGGUUUGUUAAGUCAGAUGUGAAAGCCCGGGGCUCAACCUCGGAAUUGCAUUUGAAACUGGCAGACUAGAGUACUGUAGAGGGGGGUAGAAUUUCAGGUGUAGCGGUGAAAUGCGUAGAGAUCUGAAGGAAUACCGGUGGCGAAGGCGGCCCCCUGGACAGAUACUGACACUCAGAUGCGAAAGCGUGGGGAGCAAACAGGAUUAGAUACCCUGGUAGUCCACGCCGUAAACGAUGUCUACUUGGAGGUUGUGGCCUUGAGCCGUGGCUUUCGGAGCUAACGCGUUAAGUAGACCGCCUGGGGAGUACGGUCGCAAGAUUAAAACUCAAAUGAAUUGACGGGGGCCCGCACAAGCGGUGGAGCAUGUGGUUUAAUUCGAUGCAACGCGAAGAACCUUACCUACUCUUGACAUCCAGAGAACUUUCCAGAGAUGGAUUGGUGCCUUCGGGAACUCUGAGACAGGUGCUGCAUGGCUGUCGUCAGCUCGUGUUGUGAAAUGUUGGGUUAAGUCCCGCAACGAGCGCAACCCUUAUCCUUGUUUGCCAGCGAGUAAUGUCGGGAACUCCAGGGAGACUGCCGGUGAUAAACCGGAGGAAGGUGGGGACGACGUCAAGUCAUCAUGGCCCUUACGAGUAGGGCUACACACGUGCU
rnacentral:rRNA from 1 species